AUUGAACGCUGGCGGCAGGCCUAACACAUGCAAGUCGAGCGGCGCGGCGGCCGGGUGAGUAAUGCCAAGGAAUCUGCCUGGUAGUGGUGGAUAACGUCCGGUAACGGGCGCUAAUACCGCAUACUAUCAGAUUAGCCUAGGUCGGAUUAGCUAGUUGGUGGGGUAAAGGCAUACCAAGGCGACGAUCCGUAACUGUUCUGAGAGGAUGAUCAGUCACACGGGAACUGAGACACGGUCCAGACUCCUACGGGAGGCAGCAGUGGGGAAUAUUGGACAAUGGGCGAAAGCCUGAUGCAGCCAUGCCGCGUGUAUGAAGAAGGUCUUCGGAUUGUAAAGCACUUUAAGUUGGGAGGCGUUACCAACAGAAUAAGCACCGGCUAACUUCGUGCCAGCCGCCGCGGUAAUUC
rnacentral:rRNA from 1 species